UACGAAGGGGGCUAGCGUUGCUCGGAAUUACUGGGCGUAAAGCGCACGUAGGCGGUCUUUUAAGUCGGGGGUGAAAGCCCGAGGCUCAACCUCGGAACUGCCUUCGAUACUGCGGGUCUCGAGUCCGGGAGAGGUGAGUGGAAUUCCUAGUGUAGAGGUGAAAUUCGUAGAUAUUAGGAAGAACACCAGUGGCGAAGGCGGCUCACUGGCCCGGUACUGACGCUGAGGCGCGAAAGCGUGGGGAGCAAACAGG
rnacentral:rRNA from 1 species